AUUGAACGCUGGCGGCAGGCCUAACACAUGCAAGUCGAACGGUAACAGGAAGAAGCUUGCUUCUUUGCUGACGAGUGGCGGACGGGUGAGUAAUGUCUGGGAAACUGCCUGAUGGAGGGGGAUAACUACUGGAAACGGUAGCUAAUACCGCAUAACGUCGCAAGACCAAAAAGGGGGACCUUCGGGCCUCUUGCCAUCGGAUGUGCCCAGAUGGGAUUAGCUAGUAGGUGGGGUAACGGCUCACCUAGGCGACGAUCCCUAGCUGGUCUGAGAGGAUGACCAGCCACACUGGAACUGAGACACGGUCCAGACUCCUACGGGAGGCAGCAGUGGGGAAUAUUGCACAAUGGGCGCAAGCCUGAUGCAGCCAUGCCGCGUGUAUGAAGAAGGCCUUCGGGUUGUAAAGUACUUUCAGCGGGGAGGAAGGGAGUAAAGUUAAUACCUUUGCUCACUGACGUUACCCGCAGAAGAAGCACCGGCUAACUCCGUG
rnacentral:rRNA from 1 species